rnacentral:tRNA from 1 species
UCUUAAUUAGUUUAUAAAAAUAAUAGGUUGUGAUCCUGGAGAAUACAUUAAGAUAUAAUAAUACUAGGAA